rnacentral:rRNA from 1 species
AACAAACGCUGGCGGCGUGCCUAAUACAUGCAAGUCGAACGGGGAAAGCUUUCGGGUGAGUACUAGUGGCGCACGGGUGAGUAACGCGUGGAUAAUCUGCCUUAGAGUGGGGGAUAACUAGUCGAAAGAUUAGCUAAUACCGCAUAAGACCACAAGAACUGCGGUUCAAGGGGUCAAAGGUUUUUCGCUCUAAGAUGAGUCCGCGUAAGAUUAGCUAGUUGGUAGGGUAACGGCCUACCAAGGCGACGAUCUUUAACUGGUCUGAGAGGAUGAUCAGUCACACUGGAACUGAGACACGGUCCAGACUCCUACGGGAGGCAGCAGUAGGGAAUAUUGCACAAUGGAGGAAACUCUGAUGCAGCGACGCCGCGUGAGUGAUGAAGGCCUUCGGGUCGUAAAGCUCUGUCGCAGGGGAAUAACACAAUGAAGGUACCCUGUAAGAAAGGAUCGGCUAACUUCGUGCCAGCAGCCGGCGUAAAAC